GGGCUUCGGCCCUGUCUGCACCCUUGUCUUUUGCGUACUGUCUGUUUCCUUGGUGGGCUUGCCCACCAAAAGGACACUAUACAACCACUUGUAAUAGCAAUCAGCGUCAGAUAACUAUAAUAGUUACAACUUUCAACAACGGAUCUCUUGGUUCUGGCAUCGAUGAAGAACGCAGCGAAAUGCGAAAAGUAGUGUGAAUUGCAGAAUUCAGUGAAUCAUCGAAUCUUUGAACGCACAUUGCGCCCCUUGGUAUUCCAUGGGGCAUGCCUGUUCGAGCGUCAUUUGUACCCUCAAGCUCUGCUUGGUGUUGGGUGUUGUCCAGUGUGGACUCGCCUCAAAACAAUUGGCAGCCGGCAUAUCUGGUCUUGGAGCGCAGCACAAUUGCACUUCCAGCCUGAGAUGUUGGCAUCCACAAGCCUAAUUUUUUACGCUUGACCUCGGAUCAGGUAGGGAUACCCGCUGAACUUAAGCAUAUCAAUAGCCCGGAGGAAAG
rnacentral:rRNA from 1 species